rnacentral:rRNA from 1 species
GAUGAACGCUGGCGGCGUGCUUAACACAUGCAAGUCGAACGGAAAGGCCACAGCUUGCUGUGGUACUCGAGUGGCGAACGGGUGAGUAACACGUGGGUGAUCUGCCCUGUACUUCGGGAUAAGCUUUGGAAACUGGGUCUAAUACCGGAUAGGAAUCACAUGUGGGUGUGUGGUUGGAAAGCUUUUGCGGUAUGGGAUGAGCUCGCGGCCUAUCAGCUUGUUGGUGGGGUAAUGGCCUACCAAGGCGUCGACGGGUAGCCGGCCUGAGAGGGUGUACGGCCACAUUGGGACUGAGAUACGGCCCAGAAUCCUACGGGAGGCAGCAGUGGGGAAUAUUGCACAAUGGGCGCAAGCCUGAUGCAGCGACGCCGCGUGGGGGAUGACGGCCUUCGGGUUGUAAACUCCUUUCGUCAGGGACGAAGCGAAAGUGACGGUACCUGGAUAAGAAGCACCGGCUAACUACGUG